rnacentral:lncRNA from 1 species
AUGACAGCGUUGCCUAGCUCCUCUCUCAGGCAUGGGAGAAGGUCUCUCUCCUCCUUGUAUUUCUGGGCUUGUGGAGAAUGUGACGCACCGGACCCAACGGGGUGUGACCCUCUGAGACUGGCUUUCUCACGCGAGCACUUUCCAGAGCUGCAGUCGUGCUGGGAUACGGCGUCGAGCACGCGGUCGGGUUCCUUACGUCUGCCCUAUGCCUCCGUUUCUUCACCUGCAAAACGGGGACAAUCCCAUCUAUGUCACAAGGCCGCGGCCUGCAGCUCGGACUGUCGUCAUCUGUCACGACGGAGCUGCUGCUGCCAUCGGUCUUGUCGCCUUGACUCCUCCGGCACAUCGGGCGGUGAGCCCCUUGCGCCUUCGGCCACACCGAAGUCCUGGCCCGGUCCUCGGUCCUCGCGGCCUUGCUGGGCGGGGGAGGGGCUGCAGCUGCAGGACGCCGACCGCAAGGACACUUUGCUGAGAGGGGACGGCCACUUAGAGGAAGGCACUGGAAGAUGGCGCUGCACGGGGCUGGCCUUGCGCUGGGGACCUGGGGACACGCGUUCACACCGUCUGUGGAGAGCGGGUAAAAAUGCUUUGUUGUUCCAUCUGAAUCCCCGACGGCCGCCGUCCAACCUCCAGCGCACGUCGGCUCUGCAGUUAACUGAGCAGAUACUACAGGAUCCAUCUGCACAGCGACGCGCUCCAGCAGGUCCAGCCCGCUCGCCGGGGGAGCUCACCCGGCACUUGGAAUGCGUCCCCCACAGCACACCUCUAACCGAGCAGAAGCAUCUGAUCCCCCAGCUGGAGUGAUGGACUCCAGCAUCCCAGAGGAAUGGAGACUGGGCAAACCCGAGGCAGGAAGACCAGCUUACCAGCCGUGCCCAGGACCUGUGACCUGCCACCUGUGACCUGCCACCUGCGACCUGCAAGAGGUGAUGAGGCCAGCUGAGUGAGAGCUUUCGGAGGCCCAGAAGGAAUCAAUGUUUCCUUGGAUCUGUGACAGUUGACUUCUCCUCCUGGACCCCCACCCUUGAUUGCCUCGAGAAUGAGGCCUCUUACAGCAGUGGUUCUGGUCAGGUAUAAACGUGGGUCCAAGCCUGGCCACGCACAUCCAUCAUCCCUGAGAACGGUGGCCCAGGUGUGGCAUGGCCUGCAGGACAUGCCACGUACGAGCCCUCGACCAGGCCUGAAGCUGAAGUUCAGCCCCUGCCCCCACUGGGGUCUUCAUUGACCGCUGAGAUGGGCUUCCUGCUCCAUCAACUGGAGAUUUUCCGAAGUUAAAUUCAAAGUUGCUAGUGGUUUUGAGUCACCUUUUCUUCUUUUUUUUUCAAUAGCGACUCUUGAGUGAAAAUUAGGCUGUUGUGUGGGUGGCUGUGAAGGGUGCCUCAUUUCCACAUCGGAGAGCUACCCACACAGCAGAUUUUGGUAGCACUUGAAGUGGGACCUGAUUUUGCCUCUCAGCUGCUAUAUUAAAAUAAAAAGCCCUUAAGCUGAUUAUAAAGAUACCA